UGAGGGUUAGCCAAGUCCGGCCAAAGGCAUCGGGUUUUGAUCCCGACAUUCACAGGUUCGAAUCCUGUACCCUCUACCA
rnacentral:tRNA from 1 species